UUGAUACAAGUGAUGACUGCAUAGUUCAGCAGAAAAUCCAUGUAGAUAACAGCAAUGUCUUUCGCUCCUAUCUGAUGUGUCCC